rnacentral:rRNA from 1 species
UCCCCUAGUAACGGCGAGUGAAGCGGGCAAGCUCAGGCUGUAAUCUUCGGAGAUGUAGUCUGUAGAUGGGUAGAUCGGGGAGGUAGUUUGUACAGAAGUUACCUGAGAUGGUACGCCUAGGAGGGUGAUAGCCCCGUCAGUUACAAACGAGUCCACCAUCUCCUAUCGAAGAGUCGAGUUGUUUGGGAUUGCAGCUCUAAUGGGUGGUAAAUUCCAUCUAAAGCUAAAUAUGGAUGGGAGACCAAUAGCGAACAAGUACCGUGAGGGAAAGAUGAAAAGAACUUUGAAAAGAGAGUGAAAUAGUACCUGAAAUUGCUGGAAAGGAACCGAUGGGAAGCAGUGGGGCGUGGUGGCACUUGUGCCAUUUGCCGGUCAGGCUUGCUUACUGGAUUGCGGGAGAAGGGAGCGUGCACGAUUCGUACUGCUUUUCCUAUCGUAUCUGUGAGUGACUCUGACAAAAUGCUUCUCAUCAUCCCGUCUUGAAA